rnacentral:rRNA from 1 species
UUUCUGCUGAGGACGACCGGUCCGCCCUCUGGGUGAGUAUCUGGCUUGGCCUUGGCAUCUUCUUGGAGAACGUAGCUGCACUUGACUGUGUGGUGCGGUAUCCAGGACUUUUACUUUGAGGAAAUUAGAGUGUUUCAAGCAGGCACACGCCUUGAAUACAUUAGCAUGGAAUAAUAAGAUAGGACCUUGGUUCUAUUUUGUUGGUUUCUAGAGCUGAGGUAAUGAUUAAUAGGGACAAUUGGGGGCAUUAGUAUUCAGAC